rnacentral:rRNA from 1 species
CAAUCACUUGUCUUUUAAAUAAAGACCUGUAUGAAUGGCAUAACGAGGGCUCAACUGUCUCCUCUCCCCAGUCAAUGAAACUGAUCUCCCCGUGCAGAAGCGGGGAUACCGCCAUAAGACGAGAAGACCCUAUGGAGCUUUAGACACCAGGCAGCCCACAUAAUAAACCCCUUUUACCAGAAUAAGAAUUAGUGGCCCCUCCUUGCUUGUCUUUGGUUGGGGCGACCGCGGAGAAUAAAAAAGCCUCCAUGUGGACUGAGAACACUACUCUUACAGCCAAGACCCACAACUCUAAGCAACAGAAUUUCUGACCAUAAAUGACCCGGCCUUAUGCCGAUCAACGGACCAAGUUACCCUAGGGAUAACAGCGCAAUCCCCUCCCAGAGUCCC